rnacentral:rRNA from 1 species
CCCUUAGAUGUUCUGGGCCGCACGCGCGCUACACUGAUGCAUUCAACGAGUUUCUUCCUGGUCCGAGAGGAAUGGGUAACCUUUUGAAAGUGCAUCGUGAUAGGGAUAGACUAUUGCAAUUAUUGGUCUUCAACGAGGAAUUCCUAGUAGACGUAGUUCAUCAGACUGCAUCGAUUACGUCUCUGCCCUUUGUACACACCGCCCGUCGCUCCUACCGAUUGAAUGCUCAGGUGAGCCAUUCGGACUUUCAUCAUGCUGGUUUCCAGUUUUGAUGAAGGAAAGUCUUGCGAACCUUAUCAUUUAGAGGAAGGAGAAGUCGUAACA